rnacentral:tRNA from 1 species
GGGGAUGUAGUUCAGCAGUAGAGUGCUUGCCUAGCAUGCAAAAGGCCCUGGGUUCAAUCCUAAGCAACCCUU